rnacentral:rRNA from 1 species
UGAAUACGAGAUGCUACGGCGUCGAAGCAGUCUAUGUCAUACUUCCAAGAAAAGCUUGCACUGUCAUAAACAAAUAAUGCCUGUACCAUAACCGACACAGGUGGGUAGGUAGAGUAUACUAAGGGGCGCGAGAUAACUCUCUCUAAGGAACUCGGCAAAAUGACUCCGUAACUUCGGGAGAAGGAGUGCCUUAUUUAUAAGGUUGCAAUAACAAGAUCCAAGCAACUGUUUACCAAAAACACAGGUCUCCGCUAAGUCGUAAGACGAUGUAUGGGGGCUGACGCCUGCCCAGUGCCAGAAGGUUAAAGAAGUUGGUUAGCAUCCGCGAAGCUGAUAACUGAAGCCCUGGUGAACGGCGGCCGUAACAAUAACGGUCCUAAGGUAGCGAAAUUCCUUGUCGGGUAAGUUCCGACCCGCACGAAAGGCGUAAUGAUUUGGAUACUGUCUCGGAGAGGGGCUCGGUGAAAUAGACUUGUCUGUGAAGAUGCGGACUACCUGCACCAGGACAGAAAGACCCUAUGAAGCUUUACUGUAACCUGAAAUUGAAAUUGGACUUUACUUGCGCAGUAUAGGUGGGAGGCGUUGAGAAUAUUCUUGCGGGAUUAUUGGAGCCAUCAGUGAGAUACCACUCUUGUAAUGUUAGAUUUCUAACUUUGUAUCAUUAUCUGGUCAAAGAACAGUUUCAGGCGGGCAGUUUGACUGGGGCGGUCGCCUCCUAAACGGUAACGGAGGCGCACAAAGGUUUCCUCUGAACGGGUAGAAAUCGUAUCUAGAGUGUAAAGGCAUAAGGAAGCUUGACUGUGAGACCUACAAGUCGAGCAGGGACGAAAGUCGGUCUUAGUGAUCUGACGGUGCUGAGUGGAAAGGCCGUCACUCAACGGAUAAAAGUUACUCUAGGAUAACAGGCUGAUCUCCCCCAAGAGUUCACAUCGACGGGGAGGUUUGGCACCUCGAUGUCGGCUCAUCGCAUCCUGGGGCGGUAGUACGUCCCAAGGGUUGGGCUGUUCGCCCAUGAAAGCGGUACGCGAGCUGGGUUCAGAACGUCGUGAGACAGUUCGGUCCAUAUCCGGUGUAGGCGUUAGAAUAUUGAGAGGAGCCUUCUUUAGUACGAGAGGACCGAGAAGGACAUACCUCUGGUGUACCAGUUAUCGUGCCAACGGUAAACGCUGGGUAGCUAUGUGUGGAGUGGAUAACCGCUGAAAGCAUCUAAGUGGGAAGCCCACCUCAAGAUAAGUAUUCGC